rnacentral:tRNA from 1 species
GCCUGGGUGGCUCAAUUGGUUAAGCGUCUGACUUCCACUCAGGUCAUGAUCUCACGUGAGUUUGAGCCCCGCCCCACGCU